rnacentral:lncRNA from 1 species
AUCUUUUACAAAAAUCUUCUCCUCUGAAACUGCUGGGCCAAAUUAAUCCAAACUUGGCCACAAUCAUCAUUGGGGUAUCUAGUUUAAAAAAUGUGUCCGGUGACCCGGCCAUCCAACCAAGAUGGCUGCCAUGGCUAAAAAUAGAACAUAGGGGUAAAAUGCAGUUUUUGGCUUAUAACUCAAAAACCAAAGCAUUUAGAGCAAAUCUGACAUGGGUAAAAUUGUUUAUCAGGUCAAAAUCUAUCUGCCCUGAAAUUUUCAGAUGAAUUGGACAACCCGUUGUUGGGUUGCUGUCCCUAAAUUGGUAAUUUUAAGGAAAUUUUACUGUUUUUGGGUUAUUAUCUUGAAUAUUAUUAUAGAUAGAGAUAAACUUUAAGCAGCAAUAAUGUACAGCAAAGUAAGAUUUACAAAUAAGUCAAUAUGACUGAAAUGGUCAAUUGACCCCCUAAGGAGUUAUUGUCCUUUAUAGUCAAUUUUUAACAAUUUUUAUAAAAUUUGUAAAUUUUUACUAACAUUUUCCACUGAAACUACUGGGCCAAGUUCAUUAUAGAUAGAGAUAACUGUAAGCAGCAAGAAUGUUCAGUAAAGUAAAACGUUCAAACACAUCACCAUCACCAAAACACAAUUUUGUCAUGAAUCCAUCUGCUUCCUUUGUUUAAUAUUCACAUAGACCAAGGUGAGCGACACAGGCUCUUUAGAGCCUCUAGUUCGUAAAUCUUAGUAAUCUUUUACAAAAAUCUUCUCCUCUGAAACUACUGGGCCAAAUUAAUCCAAACUUGGCCACAAUCAUCAUUGGGGUAUCUAGUUUAAAAAAUGUGUCCGGUGACCCGGUCAACCAACCAAGAUAGCUGCCAUGGCUAAAAAUAGAACAUAGGGGUAAAAUGCAGUUUUUGGCUUAUAACUCAAUAACCAAAGCAUUUAGAGCAAAUCUCACAUGGG